UGAAAUACAGAUCUAAGAGGAGACAGAGAGAUUCAGGGAGGAGCUAAGAUGUUCCUGAACUAUAGAAGAGAGAGGAACUUCCAUAUUCACCAGAGUUCAACACAGACCAUCAUCAUCAUCACCUUCAUUCAACAUGCUGUCCCUGCAGAACUCAGCUUUUUCUCUGAUAUGUUUUGCAAUCUUAUCAGGCGUCAGCUGUGACGAUCUGACUCCAGUCAAAACAGAAGAGUUCAGUCCAGAAGGCAGCUCUGUUACUCUGUCCUACAGAUACUCCAAAGAAGCAGCUGGUGAUUAUUUCUUCUGGUAUCGACAAUAUCCUGGAGAACCACCAGAGUUCCUCAUCUCACACUCUGCUUCAGGCGCUGUAGGAACUAACCCAAUCCCUGGACUGAAUAUUACAGUGGAGUCAAACCGAAUCAAUUUGAUCAUCUCCUCUGCUGCAGUGACAGACUCUGCUGUGUUCUACUGUGCUCUGAGGCCCACAGUGACAGGAAACACCAACACUCUGUACAAAAACCUCUGGAGCAAAGACAACACAAUACUGAUCAACAUCCACCAGAGGGAGCCUCUCUCUGUUAAACAUCAAUAGUUUGUGAUGAUACAGUAAUGUAGUUUACCUGCUUGAUCAUUUGAAUUAUACUGUAUGUACAUUUCACUAUUAUGCAAAAACAUGUACUGCCUUUGAUUCACAUCCACAGGUUCAAAUGUUUAACUCAACCAUUGAAUCUGGCCUUUUAUCACACGUUGAAAUAAAAGUAAGUAGUGUCCAUGAACUUAAAAUAAGUUUUUCUGUGAGUCUGUGAUUGCACGUGGUGUACCA